AUUCGUCCUGUUGUGGGCUCAGGGCCCCAGGAGUCACUUAGCCCUUCCUCUUUCAAUUCUUGGCGCAGAGGAUGAGAAGAUGACAAGAAGUGGGCGUUUCUUAAACUCUGCACCCAGGCCUGCUGCUUCCUGGACCAACUCUUCCAUGGCCCUGGGUGUCACCCAGUGUUUCUGGAGCCUCUGAGUGGUGCCCGCUGCCUGGCAGCAGCCCCUGGAGGUACCUCGUAGAAGAGGAAUCACACAGGCCGGGCACAGUGACCACACCCAUAAUCCCAGCACUUUGGGAGGCCGAGGUGGUCACGGUGUCUACAAUUCCAUCACCAGAUCUUCCAUUUCCAGGAGUAACCCUGGGCAGGUGUAUACCAUGUGUCUUGUUUACAGUGGGGAUUAAUAGUUCAAGGAGCCCAAGGAGGGAAGGACCGGAUGUACUCUGCAAUCCCAGAAAACUCAAUGGGCUGAGGCAGGAGGACCUACUGGCCAUUGAAGACUGUCCACUCCUGGUCCAGAUUCCAAGUGACCAGGCAGAAAGAGCAUGGACUUUGGAGUUUGAUUGCCUGGCUUUAAAUCCCCCUGCUCCACUCGCUACUGUGGUGUGGACUCAAGUAGGUUAAUUAACUGCUCCAGCUGCAGUUUUCUCAUCUAUAAAAUGGGGAUAAUAAUAGUAUCUACCUCAUAGUAAUGAUUAAAUAAGUUAAUGCCUGUAAAGCCGCGACAGUGCUGGAUACCUAGGAAAUGCUUAAUGCAUUUUUUUUUUUCUGAGAUGGAGUCUUGCUCUGUCACCCAGGCUGGAGUGCAGUGGCGUGAUCUCGGCUCACUGCAAGGUCCGCCUGCCAGGUUCACGCCAUUCUCCUGCCUCAGCCUCCCAAGUAGCUGGGACUACAGGCGCCCGCCACCACGCCCGGCUAAUUUUUUUGUAUUUUUAUUAGAGAUGGGGUUUCACCGUGUUAGCCAGGAUGGUCUCGAUCUCCUGACCUUGUGAUCCGCCCGCCUCGGCCUCCCACUUAAUGCAUAUUAAUUAUUGCUAUCAUUCCUGACACCCUGUAGUGUGCCCCUCGGGGAUGAGAGGGUUUAACUGAACAUCUGUCUCCUCCCGGAUGCGGUGGCAACCCUGGGAUCUGGCAGCAGUCCCCUGUGGGCUUUUUUCCUGGGCAAAGUGAGUCCAUCAUCACUCAGACAUGACACACGGCCUGGCCACCCCCUCUGGGGCCACAGGCAGCCGAUCCUGGGCUAAAAAUACCAGUCUCAUGAAUGGAGCCAGGGAGGCCAUUCUGGGAUCCACAAUUAGUGUUUGUGUUAAAACCCAUUCUCUGACUCUCCACCCCUUAUGUGCUGCUGAUUCCGGGGAGACUGACAUUUUCAGCUCCCAACACUCACUCAGGGUUUGGGGGUUUGGGAACGGAAAGGAAGGGGAGUACAUCUGAAGGGUCCUUUAACAAGUAGGGAGGCAGCCGGUCACCCAAUUCCCCUACUACCGAGUCGGGUAGGAAUUAAAAUUCCCCUUUAUAGUGGAGGAAAUGGAUGUUUCCAGAGAUUGCAGCCUGGGGAUAUAUAGUUAAGUCUGAGUUCUGGGCCAGUGCUCCCUCCAAAGUCUCUUCUCCCUCCACCUGGUGCCACCCAACAGCCCUUUGGGGAGGGGUCCUGACUUCGGGGGUGGGAGCUGACCUCGGGCAUCUUCCAUCUCUCCUGAGACUUGAGGUACAGUCAUCCUAUGAAGGAUCAGAGCUGGAAAGUGGGGGCCUGGCUCAGGGAGCAGCAGAACCAGAGCAGAAGCUGAGCUGGAGAUGCCCUGAUGGGGCCGAGGUGGAGGCUCAGGCCUGGGAUGGGCAGUUGGACCAGCAGGUCCAAAACAGCAGAAGCCAAGGCAGGCAGCGGUCUUGGAGAUGCCCUCUGACCUGCCGUGGACUGGAGCCUCUAAGAUGCUUCCUCCUGAGGCUGGAGCUGAUGACUGGCAUCCUUGGGAUGUAACCUGCGUGCAGCCGGCAGGUGAGGACGUCAUGCAGGGCAGGAGCUCAGGCCCCCCAGAGGGGGUCACACCUGGCCGGGCCACUGCCCUGUGAACAUCCUUUCAAGGGACCCUUUCUCUUGCUUGUUUGUGGCCCCGCUAGACUGUAAGCUCUUGAGGACAGAGCCAUUGGGAAUGAAUGACAAGGUGAGUCUGGGGGCCCAGGACCCCAGACAGUAGCUGUCCUUACUGAGAGAAGGGUUAGGGCUCCCGGAGGCAUGGAGAAGGAUGAAGGCCCAACUUACUCCACUUGGGGACCACCCUGAUCACAGAAAACACUGCCUGCUUCCCUCACCCUCAGGGACAGCUAUGCCCAAAGGGAGGGCCUCAGCCUCUGGCUGGAGAAAAAGCAGAUAGUAAAGAUGGUGGCCCCUGUGCUUUCAAGUUUCUCAAGCCAGAUCCCGACUAGGCUCACAGUGUGUAUUUGGGACUUUUAGAAUUUGGGAAGUUGAGACCUAUGAAAGUUUGAGAACCUGGGAAACUUCAGAGCUUUCAGGAUCUUUUGAAAUCUUGGACAUUUUAGAAUCUGGAGCAUCUUUAAACCUGGGGAACUUUAAGAAGCUUGAACUCUUCUGACGUUGUGGAAUUUGAGGGAUUUCAUUUUGGGGCUCUGUUGGCCUUGGAGUGGAUGCUGUCCUCUUGGUGUAGAGGAGGACAUUCGUCAGCAGACCUGAGCCCUCUCCUCCCACCGGCCCUCAGAGCCCAGUAUUUCAAAUAUCUCGACGUUAUGCAGUUUUAAACUUCAGAUUUUUGAAAUGAAAUUGUAUUAGUUAUCUUGAAUGUUCGAUGUUGUGUUUCUCAAACAUGUGUUGGCCUACUGGAUUUCUAAGUUUCUGGCUCUUUCUUUUGCAAAUGAUUUUUCCUCUCAUGUCACAGAUUCAACAAAUAUUCAUGCUGGAAUGGGAUGCAGAAGUCACCUACUUUCAGAGAUGGGGAAACUGAGACCCAGAGAGGGCACAGCCUUUUCUCGGGGGCCUCCAGUGACUCAGAGUCAAAUCUGUGCUUCUUGGCUCCUGGAUCUCUGAGCUGCACCCACUGGACCCCUAUGCCAACCCCAGCACCCCUGUUCUCCAUGGCGGCCCCGCCCUGAGGAUUUCCUAUGCCUUUCUACAGAGCUUUCUCCUUCUCCUAGAUCCCUUUUCUGCAAAACGAGGCUGGGGAGUUCUGAGCCAAGCCCAGGCCCACGUGCCUGGAACCAGAGACAGCGUAAGGAGCAGACACUGCCAGGUCACUUGCAGCAGACUCCAGGAGGAAAUGAGGGAAACAGAACCUCAGCCGUAGCCUAGCCAGGGCUCUCAGAGCCUAGAAAGCUCUUAGGAGAAGUGGAGAGUUGUUCAGAUCCAGGCUAAUUUGUCAUCUCCAGCCCUUCUCUGGUGAUCAGCUUGCCUCUUCCUCUACCUGCCCCUAUAGGUAGAGGAAGCUUGCCCUUCCUCUCCUGCAUCUUCUCCUCCCCUUUCUGUCACAUGCCUUCUGCUUCUUGAGGCCUCUGCCUCAUUGUAGUUUCUCUUGCUGUCCAGUUCCGGUGAGCUCAUGGCUUCUGUAGCCCAGUUUCUCUUUGCUUCCCUUUGUGAAUCUUUCCUGCUUCGACUCUCACUCCCAACUUCUUAACUUACACUCAAUGCUCCCAGAGGGAGGACUUGAUUGGUUUGGAAGUCCCCCACCAGGACAGGCCAAGGAUUAAGUGAGUUCUUAUAUGAGGUCUCUGAUUCCCUAACUCCAGCUAGGUGUUCAAUUAUUCAGUUCAAUUCUGACACCAACUCCAGGAGUUAGUGCAGACCCCAAGGUUUAGGGCUCAGCCCCACAGGGCUGUCCCCCUUUAGCCACCAGUCACACACAAGUCCAGGGACCAUCUGUACAUCUGACUGCCUGGCUCUGAAUUUCAGGGUUCCCAUAACCUCCCCUUCUAGUUAGAUCAUUCACUAGAACAAUUCACAAAACUCAGCAAGUGCUUUACUUACUAUUACCAGUGGAUUAUAAAGGAUACUACUCAAGAACAGACUCAUGGAAGAGAUGCAGGGAACAAAACAUGGGGGAUUUGCACAAAGCUUCCACGCCCUCCCAGCGAGUCCCUGUGUUCACCAGCCCUGAAGCUCCCAAACCCUGUUGUUUAGGGGUUUUUCUUGCAGUUUCAUUAUGAUGGAUUAAAUCAUUGGCCAUUGGCGAUUGAAUUCAAUCUCCAGCCCAUCUUACCCCCAUGGAGGCUGUAGGGGGUGUGGGGGUAACCAGCCCUCAUCAUGAAGCUCUCUAGGGCUCCUCCAUAAGUCAUCUCAUUAGCAUAUGAAAGGCAAUACGUUCAGGGGUUUUAGGAGCUCUGUGCCAGGAAUUAGAGACCAAGACCAAAUAUUUAUAUUUUAUACCACACCAGGCCACUUCUCAGCCCACUGGCCAACUUCAAGAUUGACUGCUGUUAGGUCACAAUACCCACUUGGCCAGGGGUAGAGAUCACUCAGUAUCAUGUGUGGUGUAAGCUGUUGAGAUUAGGCAUAGACAGUGGCAGGUGACUGACGGGCUGGACAACUGACAGAUGCUCACCUUGGCCAGUGUAGGCACAGAUAGGGCAGGACCCCAUUUGUUUAAGUGUUCCAUCCUCAGAAAUCCCCUCUCCCCCACUUCUUCCUUCUCUUCAUUCCUUCUUUGCUAUUUUUAAAUGGCACAUUGGAAAUAAAACAAUUGUCAAUGUAUUCAGCCCUCCCGCAGCGGGCUGCCAAUCAGCACAGUCCAGCCUACCUCCGCUUCCAUUCCCUCCACCUUAGCCCUCACCUCCCUCUUUGCUCUUGCCCCCGUCUCCGGGCACUCAGGUCUCUGUUAGUUUCUCAACAGCUUUGCAUAUGCUGUUCCCUCUAUUUGGAAUGCUCUUCCCCAUCUCCCACCCCUGGCUGGCUUUUCCUGGCCACCCACUCUGAAUGAUGCGCUCCUCUUACAUAUGUGCCCUGUGUGUUUCUUUACUGAUACUUGUCAGCCUGCUGAUCGACUUAUUUGCACAAACAUUUAAUAAAUCACUGGACCGUCUGCUGUAGGCGGGCAGAGAUCAGAUCUGUUUUGUCUUGCUCAGUACUGUGCAAUAACACCUAGAACAGGCCUGGCUUGGUAGAUAGCUAUUGAAUAAGUGAGUGAAUGGAUGAAUGUCAUUGAAUCAGAGAUGAUUAUGAUUCACAAAGGCUUAUAUGUAUGAGUGAAUUUGAAAAAAUAGAAACAACUUGAAUAUUCAAUAAUAGCCAAUUAAAAAUAUAGUAACCUA
rnacentral:lncRNA from 1 species